GGUGGCUCAGUGGUAGAGCGCUUGCCUUGCAUGCAUGAGGCCCUGAGUUCCCCAGCACCA
rnacentral:tRNA from 1 species